rnacentral:rRNA from 1 species
AAUGAACGCUGGCGGCAGGCCUAACACAUGCAAGUCGAACGGAUCCUUCGGGAUUAGUGGCGGACGGGUGAGUAACGCGUGGGAACGUGCCCUUUGGUUCGGAAUAGCCUCGGGAAACUGGGAGUAAUACCGGAUAAGCCCUUCGGGGGAAAGAUUUAUCGCCAAAGGAUCGGCCCGCGUUGGAUUAGGUAGUUGGUGGGGUAAUGGCCUACCAAGCCGACGAUCCAUAGCUGGUUUGAGAGGAUGAUCAGCCACACUGGGACUGAGACACGGCCCAGACUCCUACGGGAGGCAGCAGUGGGGAAUCUUAGACAAUGGGGGAAACCCUGAUCUAGCCAUGCCGCGUGAUCGAUGAAGGCCUUAGGGUUGUAAAGCUCUUUUACCAGGGAUGAUAAUGACAGUACCUGGAGAAUAAGCUCCGGCUAACUCCGUGCCAGCAGCCGCAGUAACAC